UACAGAGGUCUCAAGCGUUGUUCGGAUUCAUUGGGCGUAAAGGGUGCGUAGGCGGCGCGGUAAGUCGGGUGUGAAAUCUCGGAGCUUAACUCCGAAACUGCAUUCGAUACUGCCGUGCUUGAGGACUGGAGAGGAGACUGGAAUUUACGGUGUAGCGGUGAAAUGCGUAGAUAUCGUAAGGAACACCGGUGGCGAAGGCGGGUCUCUGGGCCGAUACUGACGCUGAGGAGCGAAAGCGUGGGGAGCGAACAGG
rnacentral:rRNA from 1 species